UAUAUCCCGAGGUUUAACUGAGAUGGAAAAAUACUGAACAACACAAUAGCAGGAACUGAGCAACUGUUAUAACUAGGGUGUGAUACCAGAACAGUAAGAAUCUAUACAUCGACAGAGGGUGGACUCCAAGAAGCACCAAGAUGCGGGGACCAGCCUGAGGGCCUGCGAUAGGCUGAGCAAGUCUAAACCACGCUCAGCCUCUACUGUGUUAGGCCAACAGAUGAGUUGGAACGACGUCUAUCACAGUAUAAGAACAUCUGUUUACUUACAUCCUGUCAGUUCUCUGCUUGCCCUGCGUGGUGAUACAGUGAACCCGUAUAUACGAAAAUUGCAUUUGCCAUUUAUUGCUUGAAUUUAAUUAAAGAUAAUUAACGACAGAUUCUGACUUUUAUUCUUCCUGAUACCGGAUUCGAAAGACGCAACCCUAUCACUUGACACCCACAAGACCGAUAAGGAAUAUACUUUUUAUUCAGCCCGCCACACGGAAUACUCCAGGUUAAACAACUAUUGUCUCUUCUCUACCGAGCAACCCAGAACAGAACUCACACAGGGAGUGAGGAAGCCCUAUAUGGAUGUGAUAGACGUCAGUUGGGGAGACCCACACGAAGGAGGGGUAAAACCCUUGACUUUUGUGCGACAGGUUCUUGCAGCCUGCAUGUACCCUGAGCUGGUCGAAAGUGAUAAACUGCCAGUGGACGUUAAACAGAGGGCCCAAAGCCUACUGAGCGCAUGUGAUGGGGGGAGUGUAGGCUCAUACACGCCCACUGGUGGUAUCUCUUAUAUACUGUGCAGUGUGUCCAACUUCAUCUCUCGACGAGAUGGUGGUGUACCAUCGUCCCCCGAGAAUAUAUUCAUGACCUCUGGCUCCCAGAGGUCUUUAAUGCUGGUUCUGAAGCUGUUGGUCCACAAUCAGGCCUCACUCCCGACAGGUGUACUGACCGCUGUUCCCGCCUCCUCUUUCUUCAUAAUGAUGCUGCAAAGCCUCGGUGCAGCCGUUGUUCCCUACUACCUAGAUGAGGAGCAGGGUUGGGCAAUAGAGGUGGAGGAGCUACGCAGAGCAUUACAGGCCUCUAAGGGUGUCUGCAACACAGUUGCCCUGUAUGUCAUCAACCCGGGGAAUCCUACAGGUCAUGUUCAGAGCAGGAAGUGUAUUGAAAAGGUGAUCCGAUUCGCAGCUGAGGAGAGGCUCUUCCUCAUGGUUGAUGAGGUGUAUCAGGAAAGUGUGUUCGGGGAGGGCAGUGAGUUUGUCUCCUAUAAGAAGGUACUGUCUGAGAUGGGGCCUCCUCUCUCUCACACAGUGGAGCUGGCCUCUUUCCACUCAGCAUCCAAAGGCUUCAUGGGAGAGUGUGGGCUUCGCGGGGGGUAUGUGGAGCUGGUGAACCUUGACCCCGCCGUCAUGAGGUACGCCUACACCCUCUUUUCCACUGACAUCUGUGCCCCUGUGACUGGUCAGCUAGCCCUGGAGCUCAUGGCUAACCCUCCCAGGCCAGGGGACCCCUCAUACCCGGUCUAUGCCCAGGAGACCCAGUCUAUCCGGGCCAUGCUGGUCCAUAACAUGAACUGGGUCCCAGAGUUUCUGAACAAUAUCCCAGGGAUCAGCUGUCAGCCGAUGAUGGGAGGAGCUUUCGUAUUUCCCGGCUGUAUCUACCCCAAGCAGCCAUUGAGAAGGCCAAGGUGGUGGGGAUGCAGCCUGACCUGUGGUACUGUAAACAGUUACUAGAGGAGGCAGGAGUGUGUGUGGGACCGGGGUGUGAGUAUGGACAGAAGGAAGGCACCCACCACAUCAGACUGUGUGUCAUGACCCCAGUGGAAACCAUGGAAGAGGUACUGAAACGCCUGAAGAACUUCCACCUGCACUUCCUCAAGGAGUUCUCCUGGAAACUGGCUUAACCUUACAGCCCAAAGAUGAAUAAUACAUUUAACUUCAGACACAAUCACAGUACAGAGAAGAAAAUUGCAACCAGUAACAUUGUUUAACAUCUUUAUCUUUCAACAGACCAUAUUUCAAUAAUAAAUUAAGACAACACAUGACCUGAGUUGAAAAAUUCAGCAUUUGGAUUGAACAAAGACGGGCGUGAGCUGCUUUUAACAUAAUUAUUUUGCUUCAAGUCAUGCAUGUCCACAGAAAAAACAUAUUCUCCGUAUUUUGUCAAACUUCGGCAUUAGAGAAUGAAACUACCUGUCUCAGACAGUGUAGAUCCCCUCUAAAUGCUCACUCUUCUUAACAAUAAGAACGUUACCUUGUUAAGAUCUGCCAUUGUGGGGCAGAUAUUGGAACUAAGGGAAUAAGUGAAAGUUUACAUUUAAGGUAAGGAUAGAUUUUGGCCAUAUUCACUAACAUCCAAAGUCCAUCAUGUCAAUUCAAUACUUUCUAUGACUGUGAUAUGUUUGUCUCACCUAACUAUCAUAAAAUGAAUGCAUUAACUGUAAGUCGCUCUGCAUUAGAACAUCUGCUAAAUUACUAAGAUGUAAAAAUGACAAAUAAACAGACUGUUUAUUUGUUUGUGAGGAUAAAAAUAUUUAAUCCAAGACAUUUGUUAUUCUAUAACAACAGUUUUAAUGUCAUAUUCAAUAAGUAUAUAAAUACACUAAAACCUCAUAGGCCUACUGACAAAAGAUGGAUGUUUUAAAUCACCUCAGAUUCUCAACCAUUCUAUUGAACACAUUACACUUGACUUACUAUGUGCUAUAAUACAGCUAUAGUCAAAUUAGAGUUUAACAAUCAGAGAUUCUAACAAUAUGCUCUGAAUAUUAACAAAAUAUCAGAAAUGUAACAGAAUUUGCAGCAUUGUAGUAUUUACCAAAUCAAAAGCCUGUGCUAAGAUCUGAAUAGCAGUUUCAAGGUUGUGUUCGUAACAACUAUCCUGCCAGGAGCAAAAAUGAUGACACUUUUGUAUGGUACUGACUAAACUUUCAAAACUUUGCAAUGUCGAUAACUCAUUCAAAAGAUAUACAUUUAAUCAAUGGCAAUUCUUUAUGGUGAUUAUAUGCAAUUGCAAUACAUUAUUUUUUAAUUUUUUAAAAAGAGAUUGUAACCACUGUUAAAUCUAAUUUUCAUGGUCUAUUUACAAUGUUGUGCUGUAGAGAUUUUAUUUUUGCCAAUGUAAAAGUGGGGUUGGGAGUACUUAGUAGGGUCUGUAGAAUCUAUAUAUGGUGUUCUUUCGUGGAGGACUGGAUAAGAGUGUUGCUGGCCUUUUACUCCUUCCAUUCCAUAAGCCUCAAUGCCGACCCUUCGUAAACUUUUUGAACAAAUUGUGUUUGACUAGAUACAAUGCUACUUCACAGUAUUUUUAAAUGUCUUUAUUUCACCUUUAUUUAUAAGAUAAAGCAAAGCAGUGCGACACAAACAACAACACUGAGUUACACAGAAUAAACAAACGUACAGUUAAUAUACAGUGUGUUCAAAUGAAGUAAAAUUAGGAAGGUAAGGCAAUAAAUAGGGAGGUAAGGCAAUUACAAUUUAACAAAUAAACACUGGAGUGAUAGAUGUGCAGAAUAUAGAGUAGAGAUACUGGGGUGCAAAGGAGCAAAAAUAAAAUAUAUAUAAAUGGGGAUGAGGUAGUUGGAUGGACUAUUUACAGGUGAGCUUAUGUACAGGUACAAUGAUCUGUAAGAUGCUCUGACAGCUGAUGCUUAAAGUUAGUGAGGGAGAUAUAAGUCUCCAGCUUCAGUGAUUUUUGCAAUUUGUUUCAGUCAUUGGCAGCAGUGAACUGGAAGGAAAGGCGGCCAAAGGAGGAAUUGGCUUUGGGGCUGACCAGUGAGAUAUACCUGCUGGAGCGCGUGCUAUGGGUGGGUGCUGCUAUGGUGACCAGUGAGCUGAGAUAAGGCGGGGCUUUACCUAGCAAAGACUUAUAGAUGACCUGGAGACAGUGGGUUUGGCGACGAAUAUGAAGCGAGGGCCAGCAGAAGAGCAUACAGGUCGCAGUGGUGGAUAGAGAAUCACCAGCAGCAAGCAGCAAGAGCGACAUCAUCGAUGUAUACAGAGAAAAGAGUCGGCCCAAGAAUUGAACUCCACCCCCAAAGAGACUGCCAGAGGUCCGGACAACAGGCCAUCCGAUUUGACACACUGAACUCUGUCUGAGAAGCAGUUGUUGAACCAGGCAAUGCAGUUAUUUGAGAAACCAAGGCUGUUGAGUCUGCCGAUAAGAAUGCGGUGAUUGACAGAAUCGAAAACCUUGGCCAGGUCGAUGAAUACGGCUACACAGUAUUGGCUUUUGUCAGUGGCAGUUAUGAGAUCGUUUAGGACCUUGGGCGGGGCUGAUGUGCACCCAUGACCAGCUCGGAAACCAGAUUGCAUAGGGGAGAAGGUACGGUGGGAUUCGAAAUGGUCGGUGAUCUGUUUGUUAACUUGGCUUUCGAAAAAAGUCAGGGUAGGAUAGAUAUUGGUCUGUAACAGUUUGGGCCUAGAGUGUCUCCCCCUCUGAAGAGGGGGAUGACCGCGGCAGCUUUCCAAUCUUGGGGAUCUCAGACGAUACGAAAGAGACGUUGAACAGGCUAGUAAUAGGGGUUGCAACAAUUGCGGCGGAUAAUUUUAGAAAGUGAGGGUCCAGAUUGUCUAGGCCAGCUGAUUUGUUGGGGCCCAGAUUUUGCCUCUCUUUCAGAACAUCAGCUAUUUGGGUGAAGGAGAAAUGGGGAGGCUUGGGCGAGGAGGAUGGAGGGCUGUUGAUCGGGGUAGGGGUUAGUCGACCGAUUUAUAAUUUAUCAACGCUGAUUAUUACAGGACCAAAAAAAGGGGUCCAGGAGUGAAGGAGGAAGGAGUGAAGGAGGAAGGAGUGAAGGAGAAAUGGGGAGGCUUGGGCAAGUUGCUGUGGGGGGUGCAGAGCUGUUGACCGGGGUAGGGGUAUCCAGGUGGAAAGCAUGGCCAGUGGUAGAAAGAUGCUUAUUGAAAUUCUCGAUUAUCGUAUAUUUAUCGGUGAUGAAGGUGUUUCCUAGCCUCAGUGCAGUAAAAAAAUGAACAACAGACUUUCAGCACACUUAUAGAGAAGGACACUCAACAUGUACGGCACUGACACACAUGACUGAUGAUUGGCUGAAAUAAAUGGAUAAUAAGAA